GACGAACGCUGGCGGCGUGCCUAAUGCAUGCAAGUAGAACGCUGAAGGAGGAGCUUGCCUCUCUGGAUGAGUUGCGAACGGGUGAGUAACGCGUAGGUAACCUGCCUGGUAGCGGGGGAUAACUAUUGGAAACGAUAGCUAAUACCGCAUAAUAGUAGAUGUUGCAUGACAUUUGCUUAAAAGGUGCAAUUGCAUCACUACCAGAUGGACCUGCGUUGUAUUAGCUAGUUGGUGAGGUAACGGCUCACCAAGGCAACGAUACAUAGCCGACCUGAGAGGGUGAUCGGCCACACUGGGACUGAGACACGGCCCAGACUCCUACGGGAGGCAGCAGUAGGGAAUCUUCGGCAAUGGACGGAAGUCUGACCGAGCAACGCCGCGUGAGUGAAGAAGGUUUUCGGAUCGUAAAGCUCUGUUGUAAGAGAAGAACGAGUGUGAGAGUGGAAAGUUCACACUGUGACGGUAUCUUACCAGAAAGGGACGGCUAACUACGU
rnacentral:rRNA from 1 species